CUGGGGUUCCCGAGUGUCUGCUAUGACCUGGGCAAUGGAGACCAUGUCAUCAGACUUCCCUCCUCUGGCACUCACGAUGGGGAAUGGUCCACAGGAUCCAAAGAACAAAUGGAGAAUGUAGUCACCCUUCGCCUCUGUGAUGGAGGUGGGAAAAGAGAAAUCCAGGCCUCAGCCGGACUUUUUUUUCUAAAGAUUAUCGUCCCCAGCAGUCUGGUCCUUGGAAAAACUCGUCCCGUUAAUCUGAACCACAGUUUUAAAGCUGCCCUGCAGGACACACGGUCACGGAGAAUGCAAUAGGAAGGCAAUUGUUUCUACAUGGUAGCUAUGCAGCGACAUUUGCUCCAUCCUCAUCCUGUUUUCCUCACCCGGAUGCUGCCAUGACCAUCUGAAGAAAGGGAUUCCGGAGUAAAUUUGAUUCAGCCGGCUCCUUUAUUUUAAUCAGGGUACACUGUUUCCAGUUUAUCCUUCAUGUAAGAACCCUUCCAUGCCAGUUUUCCAGCCUGGAUUUCUCUACCAUCAUCUUCCCAGGGAUAUUAUUAGUUGGGAUGGUCUGAAUGUCGAGUU